rnacentral:lncRNA from 10 species
CCUGAGGUAUAUAACUCAUAGUGGGCUGCCUUUUGGGGCCCCUCACUUGUGGUGCACAUGGGGCAUGUACGGGCAACACUCAAUCCUGCCCAGGAAGCUUCCUUGAGCCUUGAGGGCUGCCUCACAAUGGAUCCUAGGCUUCUUUUUUCCCUUGCUGCUUGCCUGUCAGCAGUCCAACUACCAGGGCCAGAGCCCCAUCAAAGAAUCUUCAGUGCCAGCCAGAAAGAAUGAUGAACUCCUCGUGUAAAGGGAGUUUGGGGCAACCAGUCAAACCAUGGCCUCAUGGGAAGCAGCUGACUAGGCAAUGAGAGAGGAAUACAAAAGACAAGGCACUGCGAAGCCAAGUCUGGUUGGGGAGAAGAAACCAAUAUGCCUGAAACAGGGAACCAGAAAGGACUCAGACAAAACUGCUGACAAGUAUGGGGUUUCUUGGGGUAGGUGGUGAAAAUAUUCCAAAAUAAGAUUAUAGCGAUGUUUUAAUAAUCCCCUGGAUAUAAUAAAAAAACAUCGAAUUGUACACUUCAAAUGAGUGAACUGUGUGGUAUGUGAAUUAUAUAUCUCAAUAAAGAUGUUUUAAAA